rnacentral:tRNA from 1 species
GCGGCUAUAGCUCAGUGGUAGAGCGCCCGGCUUGGUCCGGGAGGUCGAGGGUUCGAAUCCCUUUAGUUGCUCCA